ACGGCGAUCGGAAGAUCUCGCGAUGGCACGGAAAGAGGAAGGAAGAGGAAGGAUAUGACGUAGAGAUAGCAGUAUGCUUGUAGGUAUAUAAGCAAAUACAUGCGUACAAUAAACGCCAUUUGCAGCAUCCUCAUAUUGGUGUCAGUGCUCAUUGGCCCGGAGGCAGGGGGAGCCUCCGUGCCGUCUCAGGCGAACGGGAGAUUGUCGCAUCAGAAGGCGACAAGUGGUGACCCCGACGUGAUAGCUGAGACGGCGGACCGCAGGCGGUCGAGAGGAUCCGGAUCAUGGACGCGGUACUUAAGGGGAGGACCACCCUGAAAAGCCGAUGAUCCCUUCUAGCAGCAAAGACAGCAGACAGGAGAAGAAGAACAGAUGAGAAAAGGCGCGUGAAACCACAAGAAGAACGCGUAACCAGAAAACCCGAGAAGACGGCAGGGGGAGCAACCCAAGUAGCUCUCCUCGUAGCGAUGCUGGGACUGGGACUCCAAGGGGUGAAAGGCGAACCAAUGUUAGCGAAAUGGGGUAGUAACAAUCUAUGGCUCAUCUGGCAAACCGGACAGGAAAUAAGCAAUUUUGCCUGACGUUGGUGGGUGUGGGGCAGCCCUUUUAAGACAUGCUUAAUAGGGGUCCCAUUGAAUUUGACCGUAGACCUACCAAAGCUGAGAGAGCAUUGCACAAACACAAGCAAUAUUAGUAACUGCUAGAACACGCUGAAUGCAUCAUUGCCCUGGGACCCGCAAGAGCUUGACCUUCUGGGUUCAGUAGUGGUAAUUGGCUUGGGCUAGGACCAUGGGCCAGGCAAUUACUAAUAGAAGAGUUGCACCUGCUGCUGAUGCUCGUGCUAGGCAUAUUAGUAUGUAGACUAGUGUUUAGAUGCUUGGUAAGACAACUGCUAGAAAAGGGGUGGUCCCGCCCACACCCACACUAUGAACGCUUAACCCGCGACACGGCAAUUUAAAGCAAAUAGCAUAGUCAAAGCAUGGGGAGGGGGAGAUGUAGGGAACGGCGAUCGGAAGAUCUCGCGAUGGCACGGAAAGAGGAAGGAAGAGGAAGGAUAUGACGUAGAGAUAGCAGUAUGCUUGUAGGUAUAUAAGCAAAUACAUGCGUACAAUAAAGGCCAUUUGCAGCAUCCUCA